rnacentral:rRNA from 1 species
UACGUAGGGUGCAAGCGUUGUCCGGAAUUAUUGGGCGUAAAGAGCUCGUAGGCGGUUUGUCGCGUCUGCUGUGAAAACCCGAGGCUCAACCUCGGGCCUGCAGUGGGUACGGGCAGACUGGAGUGCGGUAGGGGAGAUUGGAAUUCCUGGUGUAGCGGUGAAAUGCGCAGAUAUCAGGAGGAACACCGAUGGCGAAGGCAGGUCUCUGGGCAUUAACUGACGCUGAGGAGCGAAAGCAUGGGGAGCGAACAGG